GAACUGAAUAUGCGAAAAGUCAAAUGAGAGGGUAACGCCUUGAAGGGCUUUCCUUAAUAUUCCGACUGGCGCAGUAGUGGAUAAACACUAAAGUGUCAGAAGCUCGGGGAAGUCGGCAGAAGUCUACCGUAACAUUUAAGUUGACGAAAGUCACCUAGAGGUAGGUGGUGUAGAUGAUAUGCCGGAGGUCUAUAAA
rnacentral:ncRNA from 1 species